rnacentral:rRNA from 1 species
AAUGAACGCUGGCGGCAGGCCUAACACAUGCAAGUCGAACGGAUCCUUCGGGAUUAGUGGCGGACGGGUGAGUAACGCGUGGGAACAUACCCUUUGGUACGGAAUAGCCUCGGGAAACUGGGAGUAAUACCGUAUGUGGUCGAGAGACGAAAGAUUUAUCGCCAAAGGAUUAGCCCGCGUUGGAUUAGGUAGUUGGUGGGGUAAUGGCCUACCAAGCCGACGAUCCAUAGCUGGUUUGAGAGGAUGAUCAGGCACACUGGGACUGAGACACGGCCCAGACUCCGACGGGAGGCAGCAGUGGGGAAUCUUAGACAAUGGGGGAAACCCUGAUCUAGCCAUGCCGCGUGAUCGAUGAAGGCCUUAGGGUUGUAAAGAUCUUUCAUGUGGGAAGAUAAUGACUGUACCACCAGAAGAAGCCCCGGCUAACUCCGUGCCAGCAGCCGCGGUAAUAC